AUUGAACGCUGGCGGCAGGCUUAACACAUGCAAGUCGAGCGGCGAUGAGGUGCUUGCAUCUUAUCUUAGCGGCGGACGGGUGAGUAAUGCUUAGGAAUCUGCCUAUUAGUGGGGGACAACAUUCCGAAAGGAAUGCUAAUACCGCAUACGUCCUACGGGAGAAAGCAGGGGAUCUUCGGACCUUGCGCUAAUAGAUGAGCCUAAGUCGGAUUAGCUAGUUGGUGGGGUAAAGGCCUACCAAGGCGACGAUCUAUAGCGGGUCUGAGAGGAUGGUCCGCCACACUUGGACUGAGACACGGCCCAGACUCCUACGGGAGGCAGCAGUGGGGAAUAAUGGACAAUGGGGGGAACCCUGAUCCAGCCAUGCCGCGUGUGUGAAGAAGGCCUUAUGGUUGUAAAGCACUUUAAGCGAGGAGGAGGCUACUGAGACUAAUACUCUUGGAUAGUGGAUGUUACUCGCAGAAUAAGCACCGGCUAACUCUGUGCCAGCCGCCGCCGUAAAAC
rnacentral:rRNA from 1 species